rnacentral:lncRNA from 12 species
GUUUGAUUGCUACCAAACCCAAAGGCGCUUAACACAGUGCUCUACAUUAACAAAGACGAGAACACUGGAAAUUAAAACACCACUUGCAUGAAUACAAAUGGAGCUGCCAAAGUGCUAAGAACAAAGUGAAAAAUGAAGUCAACUCCCUGAAACCACAAAGAUCCUCAAACAGGAAGAGAGAAACUGGAAAAGGAAUAUGAAAAAUUGCUGUCAGAAGAAUACAAACAAUUGGUUGUAUAUGGCAUAUGCAACUAAUAAACACAUGGUAUACAAGGGGAAAUGUUUGCCAGUCCCCCCCAAGUUGUGUAUCAAACUCUUCAAGAUUUUUUUGAAUGCUGUAUACUCAGACCAGGCCUUUCCAUGACUGCAUCAGGGAUGAAAGCUGUUCCCUAGAAGAACAAAUUAGACCUAAAACUUGGUGAGUAGACCUAGAAGCGCAUGCUGGUCCCCACAGGGAAAAGAGCAGUGAGAUUGUCAUUUAUUAGCUUCAGAUUUCAUGGGUCUAAAAAUUAGGCAGAAAAAAUGGU